CGGGUACAACGAGUCGCAAGCUCGCGAGAGUAAGCUAAUCUCUUAAAGCCGUUCUCAGUUCGGACUGUAGGCUGCAACUCGCCUACACGAAGUCGGAAUCGCUAGUAAUCGCGGAUCAGCAUGCCGCGGUGAAUACGUUCCCGGGCCUUGCACACACCGCCCGUCACACCAUGGGAGUUUGUAACGCCCAAAGUCGGUGGCCUAACCUUUAUGGAGGGAGCCGCCUAAGGCGGGACAGAUGACUGGGGUGAAGUCGUAACAAGGUAAC
rnacentral:rRNA from 1 species